ensembl:snRNA U6 U6 spliceosomal RNA
GUGCUCACUUCCGCAGCACAUAUACUAAAAUUGGAACGACACAGAGGAGGUUAGCAUGACCCCUGUGCAAGAAAUUUGACAUGCAAAUUUGUGAGGUGUUCCACAGUUUA